rnacentral:rRNA from 1 species
UACGAAGGGGGCUAGCGUUGCUCGGAAUCACUGGGCGUAAAGCGCACGUAGGCGGCUUCUUAAGUCAGGGGUGAAAUCCUGGAGCUCAACUCCAGAACUGCCUUUGAUACUGAGAAGCUUGAGUCCGGGAGAGGUGAGUGGAACUGCGAGUGUAGAGGUGAAAUUCGUAGAUAUUCGCAAGAACACCAGUGGCGAAGGCGGCUCACUGGCCCGGUACUGACGCUGAGGUGCGAAAGCUAGGGGAGCAAACGGG